GGGGAAUAUUGCACAAUGGGGGAAACCCUGAUGCAGCCAUGCCGCGUGUGUGAAGAAGGCCUUCGGGUUGUAAAGCACUUUCAGUAAGGAGGAAUGUGGUGUAGCUAAUAUCUGCACCAAUUGACGUUACUGACAGAAGAAGCACCGGCUAACUCCGUGCCAGCAGCCGCGGUAAUACGUAGGUGGCAAGCGUUGUCCGGAAUUAUUGGGCGUAAAGCGCGCGCAGGUGGUUUCUUAAGUCUGAUGUGAAAGCCCACGGCUUAACCGUGGAGAGUCAUUGGAAACUGGGAGACUUGAGUGCAGAAGAGGCAAGUGGAAUUCCAAGUGUAGCGGUGAAAUGCGUAGAGAUUUGGAGGAACACCAGUGGCGAAGGCGACUUUCUGGUCUGCAACUGACGCUGAGGCGCGAAAGCAUGGGGAGCAAACA
rnacentral:rRNA from 1 species